UGUAAAGCAGUGUAAAUUUCAAUUUAAUGAAGGGAAAACUUCAAAAAACCCCCCUGUGGUUUCGUGCAUUCUCACUUUGCUACCCUGUGGUUUAAAACGUAUCAAUUUACCCCCCUGUGGUUUCAUUUUUAUCUUUUCGGAAGCUUUUUCGUUAAUAUUUCGUUAAAUUAUAUACAAAAAACUUCAGAUAACCAUCUAUAUUUAUCAAANAAUUAUAUACAAAAAACUUCAGAUAACCAUCUAUAUUUAUCAAAUAGUCACUUUAGUAUCCUUUAAUUUUAACUUUGUCACUGAUUUUAAAAAAAAAUAAUAAUAAAAUUGAUAACAAAAAGAUAAAAACGAAACCACAUGGGGGCAAAUUGAUACGUUUUAAACCACAGGGUAGCAAAGUGAGAAUGCACGAAACCACAGGGGGGGUUUUUGAAGUUUUUCCUUUAAUGAAUCUUAGUGCAAGUGGCAAAAAAUUUGGCAGUUGGUACUCGAGAUUCUAAAUUCGAAUCUUAGUUGAUUCACAUUUUCAGCUAAAUUUAUUUCGAAAUGAAAUAAACGAAGCGGAUAGUAUGCUACCUAGCUAUCUCUUAAAAAACAAAAAUUUAUAGCUGCUUUAUAGUGG
rnacentral:lncRNA from 1 species